rnacentral:rRNA from 1 species
UACGUAGGGUGCAAGCGUUGUCCGGAAUUAUUGGGCGUAAAGAGCUCGUAGGCGGUUUGUUGCGUCGGCUGUGAAAUCCCGAGGCUCAACCUCGGGUCUGCAGUCGAUACGAGCAAACUAGAGUGUUGCAGGGGAGACUGGAAUUCCUGGUGUAGCGGUGAAAUGCGCAGAUAUCAGGAGGAACACCAGCGGCGAAGGCGGCGCUCUGGGCCGGUACUGACGCUGAGGAGCGAAAGCGUGGGUAGCAAACAGG